rnacentral:rRNA from 1 species
GACGUAGGGUCCAAGCGUUUGUCCGGAUUUACUGGGCGUAAAGCGCGCGUAGGCGGUCUGUUAAGUGCACAAGUGAAAGCUCCGGGCUCAACUCGGAAAUUGCUUUGCAUACUGGCAGGCUGGAGGGACGCAGAGGUCUGUGGAAUUCCUGGUGUAACGGUGAAAUGUGUUGAUAUCAGGAGGAACACCCAUGGCGAAGGCAGCAGACUGGGCGUUUCCUGACGCUGAGGCGCGAAAGCGUGGGUAGCAAACAGG